rnacentral:rRNA from 1 species
GCUACGGGGAGCUGCAGUGGGGAAUAUUGCACAAUGGGGGAAACCCUGAUGCAGCAACGCCGCGUGAGUGAAGAAGUAUUUCGGUAUGUAAAGCUCUAUCAGCAGGGAAGAGAAUGACGGUACCUGACUAAGAAGCCCCGCCUAACUACGUGCCAGCGGCCGCGGUAAUACGGAGGGGGCGAGCGUUAUCCGGAUUUACUGGUGGUAAAGGGAGCGUAGACGGUGCUGAAAGGCUGAAGUGAAAGCCCGUGGCUUAACCGCGGAACGGCUUUGGAAACUGUGGACCUGGAGUGCUGGAGGGGCAAGCGGAAUUCCUAGUGUAGCGGUGAAAUGCGUAGAUAUUAGGAGGAACACCAGUGGCGAAGGCGGCUUGCUGGACAGUAACUGACGUUGAGGCUCGAAAGCGUGGGGAGCAAACAGGAUUAGAUACCCCAGUAGUC